rnacentral:rRNA from 1 species
GACGAACGCUGGCGGCGUGCUUAACACAUGCAAGUCGAACGGAAAGGCCCUGCUUUUGUGGGGUGCUCGAGUGGCGAACGGGUGAGUAACACGUGAGUAACCUGCCCUUGACUUUGGGAUAACUUCAGGAAACUGGGGCUAAUACCGGAUAGGAGCUCCUGCUGCAUGGGGGGGGUUGGAAAGUUUCGGCGGUUGGGGAUGGACUCGCGGCUUAUCAGCUUGUUGGUGGGGUAGUGGCUUACCAAGGCUUUGACGGGUAGCCGGCCUGAGAGGGUGACCGGCCACAUUGGGACUGCGAUACGGCCCAGAAUCCUACGGGAGGCAGCAGUGGGGAAUAUUGCACAAUGGGCGGAAGCCUGAUGCAGCAACGCCGCGUGCGGGAUGACGGCCUUCGGGUUGUAAACCGCUUUCGACUGUGACGAAGCGUGAGUGACGGUAAUGGGUAAAGAAGCACCGGCUAACUACGUG